rnacentral:lncRNA from 1 species
GCGUCUUGCUCCAAGGAUCUGCAGGUCCAUUGCACUUUCCCUUUCUCUUUGUUGAUAGGCCUUUUUUAUGUCUUGUUUGACUCUUGUGCAUAUGUGUGCGUGUGUUGGUUGGCUCGUUGUGGCACGCCUGUCGGUCGGGUGUGUUCGUGUGUUGUUCAUGUGCAGUGUGAUCUUUGUCUCUGAGUGGAUUUUAGUUGUUCUUGCUUUUGUCUUGUUUGCCUGGUGAUAGGUGACAGGUGUGUGUCUUUUACUGCUUUUUUGGAUCUUGCUACUCUGGAUAGGUUCCUGGUGAAUGGAAUUUUGUUUUUACCACUCCAUUAGGUGCUUGGCUUUGUCUGGGUUCAUAGGAUUUGUUUGUUGGUGGUUUUCUACCAACUUUUGUUUCCUUUCGAAUUUUUUCAGGUACCUGCCCUUUUACUUAUCAGGGGGUUGGGGGAAGAUCUGCUUUAGACUUACUUAUCUUUAACUUUGCUGGGUCCCUUGGUUAGUUCCUCUGUAGGGGAUUUUUGUUUGUUUCAUGUCCAUGGAUUUGGCGAGGUCUAGCUAGAUCACUAAAGAGUUUGUUGUUUUGUAUGUGGGGUUGUGUUCAGGAAGCCAUGGAUGUAUGUUGGCAUGUGCCUUUUGGGUUUGUUUAGGCAUAGGUUCAUGCUGGCAUGUGCCUUUUGGGUUUGUCUGCUGGAAUGUGUCCCAUGUGGAUCAACCUGUUGUGUGGAUUCGUCCAAUGGCCUUCUGAAAAAAUGGAGAAGCAUGGCAUCUUCAUGAUCUUGUGUUGGGUAGUGUGGUCUGGCUGGGUUAAUAUGACUUGGUCCUGCCUUGUUUGAAUUCAUUGUUGUUUAUGUUGAGCCUUGCUAAGGAUUGUUUAGUUCAUUGUUGUUUCUGUUUAGCCCUGUUCAGGAUUGUAUAGCUCAUAUCAUUGAUUUGGGGUUGGUAUGGCUUGGUCCUGCCUUGCUUUUAUGUCAUUGUCGUUUGUGUUCAGCCUAUUGAAGGUUGUAUGGCUCGUCUCACUGAUUGGGAAGAGUGUUUGGUAUGGGUUCGGUGCAUUGUGUUUCCAGGUGUUUUUUAGGUUCACUUUCAUAUAUGUUUGUUAUGUUGCCUCUUUGAUUUGGGUGUUGCCUUUGUUGAUGGUUUGCAUGUCUUCUACUCUCUGUUUUGCAGGUUGUUUCGGUCUAGAGGUUAUUUCUUUGAGCCGGCCGUGUUGAUAGGCCCUGUAACGUGGUGGUGGUGUUGGUUGCUUUGCACGGUAAGCUAUAACCGGAUUGAUUUCCUGUUGUUGGUUAUGAGAUUAAUUUUCAUUUCCUUCAGUAUAUAUGCUCAUGCGUUUGUCCCUUUGUAUGGUGUGCGUCAGUAUUUUCUCGGUUUUCCUUAAUGUGUCAUUACUAUAGGCAUGUUUAUCCUGCGUUCUUCCUGUGUGCCUCUGUUUGAGGCUGUUGCGAGCUACUGUCGACUGCCGUUCCAUUCAUAUGUUCGAGAGGUGGCAUCUGAUGGUUCUCUACUUGGAGGGGUUGAGAUCGAUGUUCUUGUUAGGGAAGAUGUAGUAUGGUGCCAAACACAUUUUUUCUGGGG